rnacentral:rRNA from 1 species
GAGUAACGCGUGGGUAACCUGCCUCAUACACAUGGAUAACAUACCGAAAGGUAUGCUAAUACAGGAUAACGUAAGAGAUUUGCAUGGAUUUCUUAUCAAAGCUCCGGCGGUAUGAGAUGGACCCGCGUCUGAUUAGCUAGUUGGUAAGGUAAUGGCUUACCAAGGCGACGAUCAGUAGCCGACCUGAGAGGGUGAUCGGCCACAUUGGAACUGAGACACGGCCCAGACUCCUACGGGAGGCAGCAGUGGGGAAUCUUCCGCAAUGGGCGAAAGCCUGACGGAGCAACGCCGCGUGAACGAAGAAGGUCUUAGGAUCGUAAAGUUCUGUUGUUAGGGGCGAAGGGCAACAUUUUGAAUAAGGGUGUUGUUUGACGGUACUUAACGAGGAAGCCACGGCUAACUACGUGCCAGCAGCCGCGGUAAUACGUAGGCGG